rnacentral:tRNA from 16 species
CAUGAUCCUGCCUGGUGGUGGUUGCAGGUUCUCGAACCUGCGGGGCGGAGUGGCGCGGUGGUUCGAUUCCGCCUUG